UCCGAGUUGACCCCGGCAGUCUCCCAUGAGUCCCCAUCACCCCGAAGGGCAUGCUGGCAACACAGAACAAGGGUUGCGCUCGUUGCGGGACUUAACCCAACAUCUCACGACUCGAGCUGACGACAGCCAUGCACCACCUGUAUACCGACCACAAGGGGGGCACCAUCUCUGAUGCUUUCCGGUAUAUGUCAAGCCUUGGCAAGGUUCUUCGCGUUGCGUCGAAUUAAGCCACAUGCUCCGCUGCUUGUGCGGGCCCCCGUCAAUUCCUUUGAGUUUCAACCUUGCGGCCGUACUCCCCAGGCGGGGAACUUACUCCGUUAGGUGCGGCACCGGCAGUAACCUGCCGACACUUAGUUCCCAUCGUUUAGGGCGUGGACUAC
rnacentral:misc_RNA from 1 species